UUGUUCGCAAUGGGCGCAAGCCCGACGACGCAACGCCGCGUGGAGGAUGAAGAUUUUCGGAUCGUAAACUCCUGUCGAGUGGGAAGAACAGCUUUUGGAUAAACAUUCCGGAAGCCUGACGGUACCACUAAAGGAAGCCCCGGCUAACUCCGUGCCAGCAGCCGCGGUAAUACGUAGGAAGCAAGCGUUGUCCGGAAUUACUGGGCGUAAAGCGCGUGUAGGCGGAUAGGCAAGUCUGCUGUGAAAGCUCUCGGCUUAACCGGGAGAGGUCGGUGGAAACUGCCUGACUAGAGGACGGUAGAGGGGGGUGGAAUUCCCGGUGUAGUGGUGAAAUGCGUAGAGAUCGGGAGGAACACCAGUGGCGAAGGCGGCCCCCUGGGCCGCUCCUGACGCUGAGACGCGAAAGCGCGGGGAGCGAAC
rnacentral:rRNA from 1 species